UACGUAGGGGGCAAGCGUUGUCCGGAAUCAUUGGGCGUAAAGAGCGUGUAGGCGGCUCGGUAAGUCCGCUGUGAAAGUCCAGGGCUCAACCCUGGAAUGCCGGUGGAAACUGUCGAGCUAGAGUCCGGAAGAGGCGAGUGGAAUUCCUGGUGUAGCGGUGAAAUGCGCAGAUAUCAGGAGGAACACCAAUGGGCGAAGGCAGCUCGCUGGGACGGUACUGACGCUGAGACGCGAAAGCGUGGGGAGAAAACAGG
rnacentral:rRNA from 1 species